GGGCCUGUAGUCUAGUGGUAGAACACCUCGCUUGCACGCGGUUGAAUAUUUUCAAACGCCGUUCUCGAAGAGACCGUCAAGAACCGAGGAAACCCGCGUUCAAUUCGCGGCAGGUCCA
rnacentral:tRNA from 1 species